GUGGGGAAUAUUGCACAAUGGGCGAAAGCCUGAUGCAGCAACGCCGCGUGAGUGAAGAAGUAUCUCGGUAUGUAAAGCUCUAUCAGCAGGGAAGAAAAUGACGGUACCUGACUAAGAAGCCCCGGCUAACUACGUGCCAGCAGCCGCGGUAAUACGUAGGUGGCAAGCGUUGUCCGGAUUUACUGGGCGUAAAGGGAGCGUAGGCGGAUAUUUAAGUGGGAUGUGAAAUACUCGGGCUUAACCUGGGUGCUGCAUUCCAAACUGGAGAUCUAGAGUGCAGGAGAGGAAAGGAGAAUUCCUAGUGUAGCGGUGAAAUGCGUAGAGAUUAGGAAGAACACCAGUGGCGAAGGCGGCUUGCUGGACAGUAACUGACGUUCAGGCUCGAAAGCGUGGGGAGCAAACAGGAUUAGAAACCCGGGUAGUCC
rnacentral:rRNA from 1 species